UCCACAGCCAAAGUUCCUUGUUUGCAUACCCUGACAAAGGAUCCUAGUACACGGUGGUUGGGGUUACUCGGUCCCCAAAUCUGCACCAGUAAUGCUAGCUUGGUGUGCAACGACCAGAGGUUAGAUGACCAGUUUGCAGCCGGACAUGCAACAGAGAAGACCAGCAAGGGGACCCUCAGCAUCAUGCAGACUUUGCCCUCACUGUGAGAAUUCCAAUAAAUGGAACAAGUAGGACACUUGAAUAAGUUUCACUGAUGAGGGGCCAUGAGCUGACCGACGCUGCCAAACCCAUCAAUGGGGCGCUGGCUAAGACCUUACCGCCAGCCUCACCUCUUGUCUGCUCACCAACGGUCAUUGAUGGGGAGACCAGAAUUAGAAACAUGUAAAGCCAGCACAUGGAGACUUGCAAGAUGUGGUGAAGUCCAGACUGAUAGACAGGCGUGAUACUGAUAUCUCUAAAUGAAAGACCUGGCACUCGGCA